GUAGGGAAUCUUCCGCAAUGGACGAAAGUCUGACGGAGCAACGCCGCGUGAGUGAAGAAGGUUUUCGGAUCGUAAAACUCUGUUGUCAGGGAAGAACAAGUAUGGGAGUAACUGCCCGUACCUUGACGGUACCUGGCCAGAAAGCCACGGCUAACUACGUGCCAGCAGCCGCGGUAAUACGUAGGUGGCAAGCGUUGUCCGGAAUUAUUGGGCGUAAAGCGCGCGCAGGCGGCCUUUUAAGUCUGAUGUGAAAGCCCACGGCUCAACCGUGGAGGGUCAUUGGAAACUGGAAGGCUUGAGUGCAGAAGAGAAGAGCGGAAUUCCACGUGUAGCGGUGAAAUGCGUAGAGAUGUGGAGGAACACCAGUGGCGAAGGCGGCUCUUUGGUCUGUAACUGACGCUGAGGCGCGAAAGCGUGGGGAGCGAACAGG
rnacentral:rRNA from 1 species